rnacentral:lncRNA from 10 species
CCUUGAUUUACAGGCUUUUCUCCUACUGGGGUCCUUCCUUUUGCUCCUAUGCUCCCUCUGUUCCUAUAUGCUCUCCCUCUCUUCCCUCUUCUUUGAGCGUGCACAGACUGGAGCAAAUGAAAAUGUACUUUUCAAAUUUUACUGGCCCAGUCAUUCUCUUUUAAAUGAAGCUAUGCCAGCAGUCACACUGAUUCUGAAACCCAGGCAAUGUGAGGACAGAAUAAAGGGGUCACAUGGACAUAUCGUAGAACUCUGGAUGCCUCAUACUGGCUCAUCAUUAUCACUGUCAUCAUUAUCUUCAAAGCCUUCAAUCAGCUUUCAACAAAUUCCUUGGUCACAGUCUUCAAGGGGUGGAAUUUGGUAAUCUGUAUUCUCUUUCAGGUGAUUCAUGAUCCACGAGUUUGGGGAACUACUAGCCCCAGAGUGUUUCCUUUCCUCCAAUAGCCAAGUGUCCUAUAUAGAGUUGAUAGAUAAAAUAUGUAAUGCCCAGUUAAAUUUGAUUUUCAGAUAAACAGUGAAUAAUUUUUUUUAGCAUAAAUAUAUCUCAAAUAUCACACAGAAUAUACUUAUGCUAAAAAGUAUUCACCUGAAUUAUCAAUUGAACUGGGCAUCCUGUGUUUUUAUGAGCUACAUCUGACAAUCCAGUCCCAUGAUGAUCCAGGUAUGUGGGGAAAAGAGACCAACAUUUUCACGUACUUUCUAGCACUCUCUGAGAUGCACGUGGUGCUCCUUUGGUUGACUUUCCCCUUCAUAAAAAACAGGAAUUCUUAACUGGGGUUAGCUGAGGCUCCUGGGAUUUAAUUUCUCCUACCACAGACUUUUUUUUUUUUUUUUUUUUUGCAUAAUCCACCAAUGAAGGUGGAUUUAGGUGUUGUGAUAGAAAAGAUUCUUUCUUUGAGAAUUCCUGGCCCUUUGACAUUCCAGGUGGCUGCCCUUUUGAUGAUGAUCCUGGGGCAGCCAGUGACAAAUAAUACUCCCCGUGACUCCUCUCCAUGACUCAACACCAGUCCCCAGUUCCCUAAGUUUGUGUCACUGUGAAUUCUCCAUCCUGUCUCCUCUUAUUUCCUUUUUUUAUCUGCAAAAGGCGAAAAGAUGAAAAAAUGUUCUCAGCUUAAUCGAAAGUCUAUCUAAUAAUAAUGAGUCCUGCAGCAGGCUUGUAAAGAACGCAGAACAGACCCACUUAAACAUAAUGGUCCUACAAAGUAAUGAAGACUCAAGUGGUCCUUAUUAGGUAUCCAGCUGUGAAUCAGAACUCAUCUAACAUUCUGAUUGCUGAGGGAAAUAGGUAAUUGAUGCAACAGAAUGGCCAUGAUGAUUAUUUUUAGUACUUAUUUUUUUAUCCAGACAUAGCAGCUAGAAGAAACCUGCUCCCAGCCUCCUUGGGGUAUACCAGGUGUGCAGGGUGAGGGUUGCCUUUCCAUUAAAUCUUCAGAUGGGGGCUCUAAUAAAUUUUUCAUUGAAAUAAGUAAUGACCACAUUUAACGACCAGUGUGUCUGAGUGUUAACAGCUUGUGAGCCAACAAACGAGUCAUUAACAGGUGUUAACUUCUGCUUUCUGGUUUAAACAAUUCAUUUUCAUCUCUCUCCUGUUUGGACUGGGGGCUUAUGCAAAUUCCUGGCUGGGUUUUCAUUUUUCUUCUGAUAGGCAAGUCUUAUUAAUUGGUUAGCUACAUCUCUGCUAAUGCCUCCUCUUUUCCAGGAGUGUUUCUUAUGGAGUCAAUGGAUGAAUGAAUUUUAUUUUUAAUCCAUUUUUUUCCCCCUGAAGGUUGAGUGUAUCCUGGAAUAGUUUGGUCCUGGAAUGAAUUAGGUAAAAAGUCCUGGAGAAAAAUCCACUCUUGAAACAUGAAGUCUCCUACUAUGGAAAAGGAAUGCAAAUAGGUUGAAGAUAAUACAGGGUUUGAGGCAGCAUUUAUGUCCGCAGAGGAGACAUGACAAAGAUGAUUGUCUGUGUGCUAGAAAUGUACAGACCCACUAUGGGUCCAACAUGUGCCUGUGAUGGGGCUGAGCCCUCCUGGGAAAUCCUCUUCUCAUAGUUGCCCCCUUUUUUCCCUUCUUGCUUUUUGACAGAUUAUAAGCCAGUGGAAAGGACACACUUUCCUCUCUCAACUUACCAUUGGGGGGAUGGGGUUGGGGUGAUGGGAUGAAGAGUGGGUUUGGGUCUUUGGUCCUAGAGCACCCCAUUUCAUUGCAUGAGCUUCCUGUAGAUAGAAGCAAAGUCAGGAAACGAGAAUUCCAAGUUCUGUCCAGUAGGGACCAUCUUGUGGGUGUGGAGGGUGCACUGGAUUAUAUAUACUUGUCUCUCUAAGGCAGUGCUUCUUAAACCCUGUGUGGCAAAGGAACAUUUAAGAAAAUUCAAAUAGAUUACAGAUUGAUAAUCAGUAAAAUACAAAAUCAUGCAGCUUGGAUGUCCUGGGGAUGUUGAAUUGCUAUAAACUUUCUAAAUGCUUUCUGUCACUUUCAUACUUAUCCUACCCUGGUAACUGUGAAUCAGUAUCAGUCCAGAUUUUGGGCAACACUUCUUUCAUGAGCUUGGGUCUUGCCUUUUUACAGCUAUGAAAGCUGGUGAGAGAAAACUGCCCUCGGCUACUCCUCGCAAUGGUCAUUCCUUUGUGAUACCUUGCUGAGCAAUGACUAGAUGAGGUUUUGAACAAGGAACAUGUGUCUCAGCUCCCAAUAUUUUUUAGCAGAAUCUUCUAUAAUCUUUGGCUGACAUGAAAGAAGCAGCUUAGUUAUCAAAAUAAUUUUCCCUCCUGGGUGUUCUGCAGACCAGGGUGGCCAGAGUCCUUGUUUUGAUUAAUCAAAGCCAGGCACAGAGAUGAAGGCACCUUGCCUGGCAAUGGUGUGAGUAUCUGGAGAAGAAAGGUAAGACUAGGCUGGGUCCUUUUACACAUGGAAGUGAUUCAGAA